rnacentral:ncRNA from 1 species
UCUUUGGAGAGUUAUAAAAACUAGAGUAGCUUAUUGAAAUAUUUUCUCAAUAGCCAAAUAGAACUCAUUGAAAAAGAAA